UGCGGCUGGAACAUCUCAUUUUAGAGCGUCUUAAGGACGAUAAACAAUUAAAUGCCACCUAGUGGUCACUUACUUAAACAAAGCAUAGCUUUGGUUUUACUUUGGUUGAUAUUUAAGAAAUAACCCUUUAGAUUAGUAACAGGGAUAGAGAGAUUUUAGAUUAUGAAUUAUAGAUUUUAGAUUGAAUUUAAAAUUAAAGAUUUAAAAUUUAAAAUUAAGAACGAAGUCUCGUAGCUCAGCUGGUUAGAGCGCUACACUGAUAAUGUAGAGGUCGGCAGUUCGAGCCUGCCCGAGACUACUAAUUGAAAAAGGGGAAUUAGCUCAGCUGGCUAGAGCGCCUGCCUUGCACGCAGGAGGUCAAGGGUUCGACUCCCUUAUUCUCCACAGUUUUGUUGUACUGAUACAAGUAUACGAAUAGAGCCAAAAGAAAUAUUCGUUUAUCAGGAAGAUAGAAAGAACUAAAGAUCAUUGACAUUAACGGUAAAAUUGACAUCACAAAGAGAUAACCGAGCACUCCUUGAGUGCAGAGUAAAAUAAAAUUAGGAAAGAAAUCGUUAAGGGCGUAU
rnacentral:tRNA from 1 species